rnacentral:rRNA from 1 species
CGGAGGAUCCAAGCGUUAUCCGGAUUUAUUGGGUUUAAAGGGUGCGUAGGCGGCCUGUUAAGUCAGGGGUGAAAGACGGUAGCUUAACUAUCGCAGUGCCCUUGAUACUGAUGGGCUUGAAUAUACUUGAGGUAGGCGGAAUGUGACAAGUAGCGGUGAAAUGCAUAGAUAUGUCACAGAACACCAAUUGCGAAGGCAGCUUACUAAGGUAUGAUUGACGCUGAGGCACGAAAGCGUGGGGAUCAAACAGGAUUAGAUACCCUGGUAGUCCACGCCCUAAACGAUGAACACUCGAUGUUGGCGAUAUACGGUCAGCGUCAAAGCGAAAGCGUUAAGUGUUCCACCUGGGGAGUACGCCCGCAAGGGUG